UCCAGAAACCAAAGAAGUCCUAUUUGUGGCUUCCUUCUUUGAAAGACAAAGACACAUAUUAACAACACUGGAAUAAAAUAAAUAUUCCUGUAAUCCUGAACUCUGAUUCACUCCGUCUUUAUGUUACACACAUUACAAAGGCCUUAUUAAUGGGGACACCAUUUAGUGGCAUUUGAUGGCAGCAGUAGAGACGAAUGCCCAGAUUCAAGGUGCAGGGCAAUACCAGCCAGGGGAAAUCAGCCUCUCAACCACAGCCACAAUAUGACUAGGCAGCCACAAAGAGUUCCCAAGUAAUUUUCUGAUCAUUGACCCGGUCGUGGUGCAGUAUCUGGACUUGCUCUCUAAUGAGGAAAAUUUAAUGUUGUGAUGUCCUUGAUUCUACUGCACCAACAUUCAUCUGGUCUGUUUGUCUGUCAGCCACUCACAAGGACACUCAAGUCAAAUUCUCUAAAUAUAUAAUUGUCUUCCUUCAAAUUCUAGAGAAAAGGUUGAUUUUAGAUUUGCCUAGCAAAUUAAAUAUUUUAAUGCUAUUAAUAGGAUCAUUUAAAUGGUAUCCUUCUCUUAGUCUCUCUGCAAAGGUUAACCUGGGGCAAAUUUCAUAAUAGGUUUUUCUUUAUUUUCAUUUUCCUCUAUAACUUCUGAGUAAGAUGACCUACUCUGAGAAAACCUAUGAAGUUAGUUUUAACCCAAAACAAAAUCAUUAUUUUGAAAUUUAAUACCAUCACAAGCCAGAGACAAAAGAUAUUACUCUUGCUUUAUGGCUUAUUAGGACUAUUAAUGACUAGUAAGUAUUUGCUUUAAUCUUCCAUAAGUCAAUAGGUUUCUUCCUUUUAUUUUGCCUUAUACAAAUAAUUGUAUAAUAGUUUUCCUGUUAUAACAGAUUUGUGUACCUUCUUAUUUUCAGUAUUAAUUUUUGCCUAGGACUGCUAGGAUUCCAGAAUACAAAAGAAACCAUUUUCUAGGUUGAGGAUGUUUCUAAUUUACUAAGGUAAGACUAUUUACUAUGAGUAAGAUCCAGCUAAAUCAGUAGCUAGCAGGAAAUUAUGCCUCUAGUCCUCUGUUAAACAUGAUAGUUUUAUUCUUGACUGCUCCUGGGAAGUCAGAAUUUAUUUCAUUUUAUUACUGAUGCUUCAUUUUUUUUUUUUUUUUGCUGGUAGAUAUUUUAGAAGAGUUAAUAUCUAGAAGUAUUCCAACAUAAGGGCAACUGGCUCUUCACAGAGCAUUUACACUUGGGUGAUCCUUAGCUCCUGCCCAAGAAUCACCAAGUUAUAAUGAAGUUCACUGCUGUGAUGUGAAGCUGCUGCUUCCAGAAGGGCAGAGUCACUAUUUCCAGUUGUCAAUGCAGAGGCUGUAUUAUUAUUAUUAAUUAUUAAUAGUAUUAUUAUAAGACAAGAAAUGAGCACUAAAUGCUUUAUUCAGCUCUUGUCUGUUUCCUUUUCUGUACUUUUGAUUUUUGCUAACAGGAGGUGAAAAGAAGCAGUUAAAGGAAAAAUUCAGCUGUCUUUAGAACUCAGUUUGAUUGAUUUGAACCAUAAUUUUUCUCUAGAGUCUUAAACAUUAUAAAUUAUAAUUUAUAUAAACAUUUGCUUGAUUCUUAAAAUUGUUUAACAUGAAAAAAACGAUGUGAGAACUCACAAAUUCUAUUUUCAUUUUUUCUACAGGUAAACUAUCUUAUCUAAGUUACAAGUAAAUAAGUUAUUGCACUUUAUUUUCUUGUUAUAUUCAUUGAAGUUCUUAUCUAAGUUACAAGAAAUAAGUUAUUCCACUUUAUUUUCUUGUUAUAUUCAUAGAAGUUCUUAUAUCAACUGCAGCUUCUACUACAGUUUAAAUGGCUAGAAUCCCCAAUUUAGUCUCUAAAAACUUCUUGGGAUCUUCAUUUCCCAUCUCUCAAGUAAACCAGGUUUUACUAUAAGGCCUCAAGGCUAACUUCACAUUCAAAGAGUAGAAAAAUUAUACUAACUUCUCAGGCAAGCUAUGGUUUUAUAGAGUUUUACUUUUGAGGACGGAGACCCCUUUCUUCAAGGAUGUGAAUUCGAGGGGAACUUAUGAGACACAGAAUGCUCAGGAAGAAAACAGACUCAUAACUUCACUUUGUGCAGUUGGUGGGUGUGGUGGAUUCUCCAGAGAUAUUAACAAGCACAGAGGAGAAGCCCACCACUUAAUCCCACAGCUGUGUGGAUAGUUUCAUAGGAUUUCUGAAAACCUUUUCCAAGAAAAAGUAGAGACCAGAAUUGAAACAUUUGGAAACAGGUUCAGAUGAGACAGAUCUAGAACAGGGUCCGAAGAUUCAGAAAAGUCUGAUAUGGAAACAAUGCUGUUUCUUUCAAUGUUUGGAGAGAGAGAUUCUCAGAAGCAGAAGACACACAUUCAAGGAGCCUACAUUCCCUGUGCUCUCUCCCUGUGUUCCAGAAUAUUUAUCCAUGAAUCUCUGUUCCAGCGAGGGACAAUUUCAGUUAGUGAGACAACGCAGACGGCUUCAUUCCCAGGUGCCUGGGAGCCAGGAAUCCAUUCACAGGACCUGUAGCUUCACAGAUGGAAGCUCCAUUUAAAUGUGACUGUCCUUGUGAAACUAUUUAUUGUUGGCACCAUUAUUCAGGAGCUGUUCAAUGGAAUGUUAAGCACAUCGAUGACAAAUAAAGAACAGUGUGGUUGUUU